AAAAAAAAAAACGAAAACAAAAAGCCUUUGCCUUUUCUCCCUGUUCUCUGUAAUCGAAGCUUAAGCAGCUAGGGUUGGCGACUGGCGGCUGUUGAAGACGACGACUGAGCAAAGAAAAAUGGUUGAAACCAACGAUUCAUCUUCGUUUCACUUCAGCCAUGGCUUCUCACGCCGGAAUUCUCCUCGUCACAAAAAAGCUCAAAAAGAAUAUUAAAGAAGACUUUGGAGCCUUCGUUGAGAAGCUUCAACUUCUCCCUCCGCCUUAACCUGCUCCUCCCAAUGCUCCUCAUCCUCUCAAUUUUUCUCACCUUCGUCGUCUCUGACGUAUUUGAUAUCGAGGUUAUGUUACCGGUCUCGGCCAUCCGAAGUGGGCGACUACAAGCAGUGCAGCUUCUAGAACGGUGCCGGUGGAUUCGACUCUCGUGGAAGGAGGUGCCACUUGCGUUGGUAAAACGGUGGUGGAUGAACUGGCUUAUAGUAUCAAUGGAGUGAGCAAGCAUUAUGGGACACCAACUAAUCCUGUAGCACAUGCUCGAGUACCUAGUGGAUCAUGUAGUGGGGCUUUUGUGGUUGUGGCAGCUAAUCUUGUUGACUUCUCUUUGAAAAAGGAUAAAUUUGGUCCUGUUUUGUCAUGGGCGCAAAGAGUUAAAAUUGUUGUGGGGGCAACAAGAGAGUUAAAUAUCUACAUGAAAAGCAUGUAUGCAUUCCACAUGUGUUCUUGGGAACUUUAUCAUGCUCCAGAAUACGCUAUGACUUGACAGAUGAGUGCAAUGAGUGAUGUUUAUAGCUUUGAUGUUGUCCUGUUGGAACUAUAAUUGAGCGGAAGCCUGUUGAUCAUACCUACCGCUACCGCUGGACAGCAGAGCCUUGUGACAUGGGCAACUCCAAAACUCAGUGAAGAUAAGGUGAAGCAAUGCGUUGAUGCUAAGUUAAAUGGAAAUACCCUCCUAAGGCAAUUGAAAGAUGAUAACUUUGACUGAAAAUAAUUCGUCAAAUUCGAGCUUUCUUGGUGGAAGAGCAAAAGAUUGUGAAAGAAGGUUUUGAAGAUCCAGAAAGCAAAGUAAAUGCAAGUUUCAAGGAGCUAGAAAGUGGGAGGGUGAAAGCAGAACUUUUUUGGAUUUUAAGAAUGAAUUAGAAACUGGAAAAGCUGCUUCUUUUGUAUUGAAUUCCAUAUAUUUAUUGAAUUUGACUUGACAAAAUUUCUUUUAUAUAUUUA